AUUUAGUUAGUUAGUAAAUAAAUUAUUAAGACAAUUGAUGUGUGGAUGAUUCAUAGCAAAGACUGGGUUCGUUGCAGAUAACCAACAAUUUACGACGUUUGGAUUGAGACUAAGAUGGUGCCACCGAUCCUACUGUGCCUGCCAUCCUGUCUGUCAUCUGGUCACUGCUGCCAAAGAGAGGGUGAAGUAUUUGCUAGCUUCCCCACGUCGAUAGCUCUCACUUACAUAGCUUAGCCUUUCCUAGCUAACUAGCAUGCUAAUAUUCACUCACGGUAGUUUCACCAUUCAUAACUCAUAAAACUCUGUAGUCUCACCGAAAACUUCUUCUGAUUUUUCCUCGUCGCCAAAUGUUGUAUCUUGAAUAGCUCAGGAAGAUCCUCAGGACCUCAGACUGGGGCGAAGGUUCAUCCUCCAACAGGACAACGACCCUAAGCACACAGCCAAGACAAUGCAGGAGUUGUUUUGGGACAAGUUUCUGAAUAUCCUUGAGUGGCUCCCCAAAUACAGUUAUGCCAAGCUUGUAGCAUCAUACCUAAGAAGACUUGAAGCUGUGAUUGCUUCAACAAAGUACUGAGUAAAGGGUCUGAAUACUUAUGUAAAUGUGAUAUUUCUGGUUUUUAUUUAAAAUAAAAUUGCAAAAAAUUGAAAAA